rnacentral:rRNA from 1 species
AUUGAACGCUGGCGGCAGGCUUAACACAUGCAAGUCGAGCGGAGAUGAGGUGCUUGCACCUUAUCUUAGCGGCGGACGGGUGAGUAAUGCUUAGGAAUCUGCCUAUUAGUGGGGGACAACAUUCCGAAAGGAAUGCUAAUACCGCAUACGUACUACGGGAGAAAGCAGGGGAUCUUCGGACCUUGCGCUAAUAUAUGAGCCUAAGUCGGAUUAGCUGGUUGGGGGGGUAAGGGCCUACCAAGGCGACGAUCUGUAGCGGGUCUGAGAGGAUGAUCCGCCACACUGGGACUGAGACACGGCCCAGACUCCUACGGGAGGCAGCAGUGGGGAAUAUUGGACAAUGGGGGAAACCCUGAUCCAGCCAUGCCGCGUGUGUGAAGAAGGCCUUAUGGUUGUAAAGCACUUUAAGCGAGGAGGAGGCUACUGAGACUAAUACUCUUGGAUAGUGGACGUUACUCGCAGAAUAAGCACCGGCUAACUCUGUGCCAGCCGCCGCCGUAA